UAGCCUGCCAGUUUCGAAUGCAGUUCCCAGGUUGAGCCCGGGGAUUUCACAUCCGACUUGACAGACCGCCUGCGUGCGCUUUACGCCCAGUAAUUCCGAUUAACGCUUGCACCCUCCGUAUUACCGCGGCUGCUGGCACGGAGUUAGCCGGUGCUUCUUCUGCGGGUAACGUCAAUUGCUGCGGUUAUUAACCACAACACCUUCCUCCCCGCUGAAAGUACUUUACAACCCGAAGGCCUUCUUCAUACACGCGGCAUGGCUGCAUCAGGCUUGCGCCCAUUGUGCAAUAUUCCCCACUGCUGCCUCCCGUAGGAGUCUGGACCGUGUCUCAGUUCCAGUGUGGCUGGUCAUCCUCUCAGACCAGCUAGGGAUCGUCGCCUAGGUGAGCCGUUACCCCACCUACUAGCUAAUCCCAUCUGGGCACAUCUGAUGGCAAGAGGCCCGAAGGUCCCCCUCUUUGGUCUUGCGACGUUAUGCGGUAUUAGCUACCGUUUCCAGUAGUUAUCCCCCUCCAUCAGGCAGUUUCCCAGACAUUACUCACCCGUCCGCCACUCGUCACCCGAGAGCAAGCUCUCUGUGCUACCGUUCGACUUGCAUGUGUUAGGCCUGCCGCCAGCGUUCAAUCUGAGCCAU
rnacentral:rRNA from 1 species